AGUGAACGCUGGCGGUAUGCCUAACACAUGCAAGUCGAACGGCAGCACAGGAGAGCUUGCUCUCUGGGUGGCGAGUGGCGGACGGGUGAGGAAUACAUCGGAAUCUACUCUGUCGUGGGGGAUAACGUAGGGAAACUUACGCUAAUACCGCAUACGACCUACGGGUGAAAGCAGGGGACCUUCGGGCCUUGCGCGAUUGAAUGAGCCGAUGUCGGAUUAGCUAGUUGGCGGGGUAAAGGCCCACCAAGGCGACGAUCCGUGGCUGGUCUGAGGGGAUGAUCAGCCACACUGGAACUGAGACACGGUCCAGACUCCUACGGGAGGCAGCAGUGGGGAAUAUUGGACAAUGGGCGCAAGCCUGAUCCAGCCAUACCGCGUGGGUGAAGAAGGCCUUCGGGUUGUAAAGCCCUUUUGUUGGGAAAGAAAUCCAGCUGGCUAAUACCCGGUUGGGAUGACGGUACCCAAAGAAUAAGCACCGGCUAACUUCGUGCCAGCCGCCGCGGUAA
rnacentral:rRNA from 1 species